AAUACUCCUAGAUUGCGCCGCACCACGCCACCACGUACGCACGCGUGCUACAAAUUUCCCUCUUCCUCCGUCUACCGAGAAGUGGCCCAAAAGGGGCGCCUCGCUCUCGCCCCCCUCCCGACUCAGGCACCACCAUCUCGCAUCAUUUGUUUUUUCUCCCUGGAAAGAGCGGCCAUCUCGCCCUGCGUUGCGAGAUCCCCGUGAACCGUCGCGGCCGGGCGGUGGUAAUCGUGGCAAGGACGGAUGCAGCACAAAUGGAAGGUCGUGGAGGGCGGCGCCGGUGCCGGUGCCGGCGGCGGCGGGGGAGAUCAGCGCCGGCGGUGCGUGACGGCGUCGUUGUCCAUGCUGAUCGCGGCCACCCUGGCGUUUCUUGCCUACGUCGCCUUCUUCCCGUAUGACGGCGCGGGCGGGCUGUACCGGUGGUGGAGAUGCGAGGGUUGCGGCGACGCGGCGGGCGGGUUCGCCUUCGACGAGGCGGCCAUGGCGCAAGGACCUACGGCUGGUGGCGCCCGCCGCCGCUCGCCGACGACGCUGUCGCACAUCGUGUUCGGCGUCGGCGCCUCGGCGCGGACGUGGGACAAGCGGCGCGGGUACGCGGAGCUGUGGUGGCGCCCCGGGGAGAUGCGCGGCCACGUCUGGCUCGACGAGCAGCCGGUGGGGCCCUGGCCGGCGGCGACGUGCCCGCCGUACCGCGUCUCGGCGGACGCGUCCCGGUUCGGGGACCGGGCGUCGGCGUCCCGGAUGGCCAGGAUCGUGGCGGACUCGUUCUUAGCCGUCACGGCGGAGAUGGCGAACGGCACCACCGAUUCUCCCGAGGCGCGGUGGUUUGUGAUGGGUGACGACGACACGGUGUUCUUCCCGGACAACCUGGUGGCCGUGCUGAACAAGUACGACCACGAGGAGAUGUACUACGUCGGGGCGCCGUCGGAGAGCGUGGAGCAGGACGUGAUGCACUCGUACGGCAUGGCGUUCGGCGGCGGCGGGUUCGCCGUCAGCUACCCGGCCGCCGCCGAGCUCGCCAAGGCCAUCGACGGUUGCCUCGAACGAUACAGGCUGUUCUACGGCAGCGAUCAGCGCGUGCAAGCCUGCCUCAGCGAGCUCGGCGUCCCUCUCACCCGCGAGCCCGGAUUCCACCAGGAAUCGGGAAAAGGUGGACGUCCGCGGCGACGCGUACGGGAUGCUGGCCGCCCACCCGCUGGCGCCGCUGGUGUCGCUCCACCACCUCGACCACAUCGAGCCCAUCAGCCCCGGGGGGCAGCAUGGCAGCCCGCUGGACGCGGCGCGGCGGCUGGUGCGCGCGUCGCGGCUCGACCAGGCGCGGUCGCUGCAGCAGGCGUUCUGCUACCAGCGCGGGCCGCGCUACACCUGGUCCGUGUCGGUGUCGUGGGGUUACACGGUGCAGCUGUACCCGUGGGCCGUGGCGCCUCACGAGCUGGAGGUGCCGCUCCGGACGUUCAAGACGUGGCGGUCGUGGGCCGAUGGCCCGUUCGUCUUCAACACGCGGCCGCUGAGCCGCGACGACGCGUGCGCCCAGCGGGCCGUCUUCUUCCUCAGCGCCGCCCGGAACGAUACGUCCUCCCGCGGCCGCGGCCGCAGCCGAGCCACCAUGACGGAGUACACCAGGCGCGUUGCGAAGCCGGGGGCCAAGGAAUGUGACCGGCCCAGCUUCCUCGCGGCGUCCACGGUCCACACGGUCAGGGUCUUCGCCCCAAAGAUGAGCCCAAACGAGUGGACACGGGCCCCACGGCGGCAUUGCUGCAGCACGAAGAGGACGAGGUUUGGCACUGAGCUGGAGGUGCGGAUACGAUACUGCGGCCGAGGAGAGCUCACCACGCCGUAGCUCUCUGCCGAUGAUCCCGCCGCAGUUUUGCCAACAGCACGGAGGGCUAGAUGCCAAGAUUUUAGUAGCGGCUAGUGCCAUGACACCGAACUGACUGAAGAGGACGGCAGGGUGAAACACCGUAUUUCACUGCGGAUUUUUGGACAGAUUCUGGUUUGUCUUCGUUGUGCACGUACAAGUGAUUAUACGGCUCGUCAGGCCGCAGACACAUGCUGACAUGCAUACGCAUGAUUGCAUACCCCGGGUACACAGUAAUCCGUUUGGCUCGAGCGCUCUUUUUCUGUAAAGAGCUGUAAAGGGAGUGGUGAUCAGACUUAACGAUUUCGACAUGUAAAGCGUAGUAGGACUAGUUUGAAAGGAUGGUCUUUUCACUGUUUUGAGAAAGAAAAGGUGGUAUUUAUCUUCUGGAGGUACUUUCAGUUCUUCGUGGAUCCACAUUGCACAAGAAAUAGAAGGGACAAAGUAAUAAGGAAUAAGUUCACUUUAGGUCGCUCAA